rnacentral:rRNA from 1 species
UACAGAGGGGGCAAGCGUUGUUCGGAAUUACUGGGCGUAAAGGGCGCGUAGGCGGCCGCCCUAAGUCGAACGUGAAAUCCCGGGCUCCAACCCGGGAACCUGCGUUUGUGACUGUAUGACUAGAGUACGGUAGAGAGGGUGGAAUCCGUGGUGUAGCAGUGAAAUGCGUAGAUAUCGAGGAGGAACAUCGAUGGCGAAGGCAGCC